UGGUACACGUUCGGUGGAGGAACCAGACUGGAUGUUGGAAGUGAUGUCCGUCCCACCCUGACGGUGCUGCCCCCCUCCAGCGAGGAGCUGGAGCACGGGAAGGCCACGCUCAUGUGUCUGGCCAACAAGGGCUUCCCCUCAGACUGGAGUCUGGCCUGGAAGGUGGACGGCAGCAGCAGCAGCAGCUGCAGCUGGGAGGAGAGCAGGAGCCCCGCGGUGCUGCAGAAGGACGGCCGCUACAGCUGGAGCAGCACCCUGAGGCUCCCUGCAGACCAGUGGAGGAAGGUGGGCUCUGUGACCUGUGAGGCCACCCAGGGCUCCCAGACUCCAGUCUCAGAGACACUGAGGAGAGACCAGUGUUCCCAGUCCUGACCUGACUCACUGGGA